rnacentral:rRNA from 1 species
GAUUCAUGGCUCAGGAUGAACGCUGGCGGCGUGCUUAACAACAUGCAAGUCGAACGGAGUUUUAACGGAAGUUUCGGAUGGAAGUUAGAAACUAGUGGCGGACGGGUGAGUAACGCGUGGGUAACCUGCCUCAUACAGGGGGAUAACAGUUAGAAAUGACUGCUAACACCGCAUAAUAUAGCGAAACCGCAUGAUUUUUGCUAUCAAAUAUUUAUAGGUAUGAGAUGGGCCCGCGUCUGAUUAGCUAGUUGGUGGGGUAAAAGCCUACCAAGGCGACGAUCAGUAGCCGGCUUGAGAGAGUGACCGGCCACAUUGGGACUGAGACACGGCCCAAACUCCUACGGGAGGCAGCAGUGGGGAAUAUUGGACAAUGGGGGAAACCCUGAUCCAGCCGACGCCGCGUGAGUGAAGAAGUAUUUCGGUAUGUAAAGCUCUAUCAGCAGGGAAGAUAAUGACAGUACCUGACUAAGAAGCCCCGGCUAACUACGUGCCAGCCGCCGC